rnacentral:pre_miRNA from 1 species
UAUAUACUCCCUCCGUCCCAAAAUUCUUGUCUUAGAUUUGUCUAGAUACGGAUGUAUCUAACACUAAAACGUAACUAGAUACAUCCGUAUUUGGACAAAUCCAAGACAAGAAUUUUGGGACGGAGGGAGUAUGUU